UACGGGGGGGGCAAGCGUUGUUCGGAAUUACUGGGCGUAAAGGGUUCGUUGGUGGCUUGCUAAGUCAGACGUGAAAUCCCUCAGCUUAACUGGGGAACUGCGUCUGAGACUGGCAAGCUUGAGUGCAGGAGAGGAAUGCGGAAUUCCAGGUGUAGCGGUGAAAUGCGUAGAUAUCUGGAGGAACACCGGUGGCGAAGGCGGCGUUCUGGACUGCAACUGACACUGAGGAACGAAAGCCAGGGGAGCAAACGGG
rnacentral:rRNA from 1 species